CCUACGGGUGGCAGCAGUGAGGAAUAUUGGUCAAUGGACGAGAGUCUGAACCAGCCAAGCAGCGUGAAGGAUGACUGCUCUAUGGGUGGUAAACUUUUUUUAUAAGCGAGAAAUAUGAUGGUAACUUAUGAAUCAGGAUCGGCUAACUACGUGCCAGCAGCCGCGGUCAUACGUAGGAUCCGAGCAUUAUCUGGAGUGUCUGGGUGUAAAGAGGUGCGUAGGUGGUAUAAUAAGUAGCUAGUGAAAUCUGGUGGCUCAACCAUUCAGACUAUUAGUUAAACUGUUAAGCUCGAGAGCGUUAGGGGUAACUGGAAUUUCUAGUGUAGGAGUGAAAUGCGUAGAUAUUAGAAGGAACACCAGUGGCGUAGGCAGGUUACUGGGACGGUUCUGACACUGAGGCACGAAAGCGUAGGGAGCAAACAGGAUUAGAUACCCUGGUAGUC
rnacentral:rRNA from 1 species